UUCUCUAUUCUUUAUUUAUGUUUACAUCUUCAAGGGUGAAUUUGGUAGUUGAAUAGAAGGUUGAGAUGGUGUUUAAUGGAGUAUAAAUUUUAAUUUGAUAUUUUUAUGAUUGUUCUCUAAUGGUGUUAAUUAAGGAAAAUGGAAAAAAACUGGAGGUGGGGAUGUGGGUUGGCUGGAAGAAGAGAAAGAAAUAGAGGGGGCAUGGGCGGGGACAGGGG
rnacentral:lncRNA from 1 species